UUAAAUUGAAGAGUUUGAUCAUGGCUCAGAUUGAACGCUGGCGGCAGGCCUAACACAUGCAAGUCGAACGGUAACAGAAAGCAGCUUGCUGCUUUGCUGACGAGUGGCGG
rnacentral:rRNA from 2 species